AUUAAAACUACGAGUGAAUUUUACAGUUAGUAGACGUAUAAGUU
rnacentral:guide_RNA from 1 species